rnacentral:rRNA from 1 species
GAUGAACGCUGGCGGCGUGCCUAAUACAUGCAAGUCGAGCGAACAGACGAGGAGCUUGCUCCUCUGAUGUUAGCGGCGGACGGGUGAGUAACACGUGGAUAACCUACCUAUAAGACUGGGAUAACUUCGGGAAACCGGAGCUAAUACCGUAUAACAUGUUGAACCGCAUGGUUCAACAGUGAAAUACGGUCUUGCUGUCACUUAUCGAUGGAUCCGCGCCGCAUUAGCUAGUUGGUAAGGUAACGGCUUACCAAGGCAACGAUGCGUAGCCGACCUGAGAGGGUGAUAGGCCACACUGGAACUGAGACAGGGUCCAGACUCCUAAGGGACGCAGCAGUAGGGAAUCUGCCGCAAUGGGCGAAAGCAUGACGGAGCAACGGCGCGUGAGUGAAGAAGGUCUUCGGAUCGUAAAACUCUGUUAUUAGGGAAGAACAAAUGUGUAAGUAAAUAUGCACGUCUUGACGGUAACUAAUCAGAAAGCCACGGCUAACUACGUG